AUGCAGGCGUGUGGAGCUCCAGAGUGGAGCUGGCGUGGCCAGAUCAACGGGUAACCUAACCCUCUGCUACACAGUUCGGCCUUGACUUUACAGAGCCGGUCCUCAGCUAGUGGGGAGGCUCUGAAAUCGAGCUGUGUAAGACCGAAUGCGAGUCCGCGCUGAUCUAGGAGGGCAGAGGCCUGAGACGGAGAAAGGAGUGCUGGCCCCGCAGCGAGCUGAGAGCUGACGGUGGCUACAACAGGGCUUCCCCGGCCGAACCGGAACCGGGCGUCCAGAGCCUGGGAGCCGGACCAGCCACUGAAACGAUGAAAACACGGAGGGGAAGAGGCCGUUUCUGCAGUUUCCCAACUGCGCCGGUCCUGGGAGCGGCCUCCCAUAACGAGCAGCAGCCCUG
rnacentral:lncRNA from 1 species